AUGAGUCAGACUCUCCUAGAGGAGAGCAGGCAAGUGCGCACAAGCGCUACUGGAGGGGUGAAGUACCUAAACCAGGCGUCCGGACAAAUUAGACUCUGGAGAAGUGUCUAACCCCGAUACGAUCGGCCUAGGUGACUACACUGCCUAGGUGACGCAGGGGUGGUAGUCCUCGUGACCCCACCACGGCCGCCCUAGCUGUAUGGCGGGCAGACCGGUCCUUCUCGGAAGGAGUGGACGAUGGGG